rnacentral:misc_RNA from 1 species
GUAGGUGAACCUGCGGAAGGAUCAUUAACAAAUCUAAAACGUGGCCUGUGCUUCGGCACAGGACAUAAUAACCUGUGAAUCGCAGCAUGAAUGGAUUUAUUUAUUCUGCUGUCUGUUGCCUGUGGUGAAAGCUGCAGCAACAAACCUUAACGUCUAUCUAAUGUCUAAUUAAAACAAAAACAAAUACAACUUUUAGCAAUGGAUCUCUUGGCUUCUGCAUCGAUGAAGAACGCAGCAUCUGACUGACUUC